GGACCUGUCAGCCUCCAGGGAGCCAGGAUCCCUCGGGCCAGCCUGAGAGCGGGCGUCCUCCUCUCGGACAGGGGCAGGCGUCCACCGGGGAAUGUGAGAAGUGCCCUGGGAGAUGAGCUCGUUCAGGAGCAGAAAUGUGAAUUCCUGGCCUAAGAUAAGAGCAGUGACCACUGCUGUUUCACCAACAAGACAUCAUUUUAACACCUGUCUCAGAGCCGUGACACACGAGUGCAUGAGCAAUGAUUUGGCAUUUCACUCUUUGGCCCUGCGUUUGAGAUUUCAACCUCAGAAGUGUGGGCUUGCCUGGGACAUUUCAAAAGAAGGCAUCUUUCAGGAAAAAACACUUGACAUAAUCCAGCACCUCUUCGUGACAAAAACACUGAACAAGCGAAGAAUAGGAGGGAACUUCCUCAAGCUGAUAAAUCACAGUCAGCAUCAUGCUCAAUGCUAGAAGAUGGAAUCCUUUCCCCCUGAGAUCGGGAACAAGGCAACGUCUGCUCAACAUUGUCCUGGAAGUUCUAGUCCUGGCAGUUAGGAAGUAAAAGAAAUAAAAGGCCUCCAGAUUGGAGGACGGGAGUCUGUGCCCAGUUCCGGAAUUGCCAGGGAAAGAGCCACUGUGGGACACUCAUACAGGAAAAACAUCAUGUGAAGAUGAAGGCACAGGUCUGGGUGAUUCCUCUAUAAGCCAAGGAAUGCCAACGAUUACCAGCAACACCAGAAGCUAGUAGAAAGGCAUGGAGCAGAUUCUCCCUCAAGCCCUCAAAGGAACCAAUCCCGCCAACACCUUGAUUUCAGACUUCAGGCCUUCGGACUGUGAGGGUGCAAGCUGACCAGAGAAUGGCCUUCGAUGCUCAAGGGACCACUGUCUGAAGUCCAAGACACGGCCUUUGUGUUCUCUGCACAAAGACCCCACCACCACCUUCUGGGACCCCACACACAAAGGG